CACAGAGAGGUUAACCCGACGUUGCAACUUAUUAACCCUGCGACGAAAAAGUUCAGUAAAGGCAUUGAUAAUUUUGUUCGGUUCACCGGGAGUCCGCAUGGGUGAAACAAUGGCACAUGAGAUGAUGCAUGCAUGGUUUUACCUUCAAGGUUGUAGAGGGAAAUUGGAAAGAAGUGUUGAAGAAGGCAUUUGCAGUUUAAUGGGAUACAUGUGGAUGGAGUGGUUUUGUACUAGUGGUGUUGACUCCUUUUACAAAACCAGUGUACA